CUUGACGACCAUAGAGCGCAUUGGAACCACCUGAUCCCAUCCCGAACUCAGUAGUGAAACGAUGCAUCGCCGAUGGUAGUGUGGGGUUUCCCCAUGUGAGAGUAGGUCAUCGUCAAGA
rnacentral:rRNA from 1 species